AGGCCUCUCACUCUGUUGCUCUCUCAAUCCGUCUGCUCUCGCUUUGUUGGUUCUCCAUUUGUCGCUCUCACCGCCUGGAUCUCAUCCCACUCACUAGCAAUCGAGCAAUGAGCAUGCACUUCUCCAGGCAAGGAUUGCGACGGCGACGACCAGUGUGAGUUUUGCUCCGUUGAGUUCCAUUUGAGGGCCAAAUGUAUUGAUGAUCAAACCCUAGAUGUCACCAGCAAGGACCUUUACAGCUCCGACCACACCGUUGUUCCUGUUGAUUUCUCUGAUUCCAGCUCUGGUUUUGACAAUUCCGAACAGAGGUCCUCAAUUUCUUAUUCUUCUGAUACAAGCAAAGGUUUUGGAUCCUAAAACUUUGUUGUCGUUUACUCUGAAACUGAAAACUUGACCAAAUGCUUUUAAAAUUAAAGACCGUCUCUCGCAGGAAAUUCUUCCAGUUACAUAUAGUCACGAUGUGGUUUUGUGAAAGCAGGUUGAAGAGAAAUAGUAUGCAAGAAGAUAAAAGAGUAUGAAUUGAAGUGCUUGUUGAAGGAGCACUAGAAGAGGUUCAUCAACAUCAAAUUGGGCAUUAAAUACGCACAAGUGCAUGCCAUUUCUUAUUGGCACACAUGUAAAUCUGCACAACUGCCAUGUCUUUGUAGAUCGACUUCAUGAUUCUUUCUGGUUUCUGGAUUGGGUUGUGAUUCUUGGCAAUGGUUUCAAUAUAACAAUUGAAUUGUAUUGACAAUGUUUAUGAUUGGAUCAAAAAGAGUUUUGACUUCAUUUUUUUUUGGUAUUGUAAUGGCUACAUGGGUUUUGAUAUUCUCGGUUGUGUUUGUUAAUGUAUUUUGUGUUAUGC